rnacentral:rRNA from 1 species
GACGAACGCUGACGGCGUGCCUAAUACAUGCAAGUCGAGCGCAGGAAACCGUCUGAACCCUUCGGGGGGACGACGGCGGAAUGAGCGGCGGACGGGUGAGUAACACGUAAAGAACCUGCCCACGGGUCUGGGAUAACCACGAGAAAUCGGGGCUAAUACCGGACGGGUCAUCGGACCGCAUGGUCCGAGGAUGAAAGGCGCUCCGGCGUCGCCCGUGGAUGGCUUUGCGGUGCAUUAGCUAGUUGGUGGGGUAACGGCCCACCAAGGCGACGAGGGAUAGCCGGCGUGAGAGGGUGAUCGGCCAGACUGGGACUGAGACACGGCCCAGACUCCUACGGGAGGCAGCAGUAGGGAAUCUUCCACAAUGGACGAAAGACUGGUGGAGCAACGCCGCGUGAACGAUGAAGGCCCUCGGGUCGUAAAGUUCUGUUGAAAGGGAAGAACAAGUGCCGCAGGCAAUGGCGGCACCUUGACGGUACCUUGCGAGAAAGCCACGGCUAACUACGUGCCAGCCGCCGCGGUAA